UGAAAUCACAGGGGGUCUAAGCGAGCAUUUCUUGCUCUCUUCUGUUCCUUUGGUGGGAUUACAGAACAGGUAUUAGAGGAAUAUGAUUCGCAAGAGGCUUUCUUGGCUUUCUGCCUUCCACCAUUAGAUGAUGCAGCAAGAAGACCAUCACCAGCACCAGAAUCAAUGAACUCUGCAAAGAUCCUGGACUCCUUCUCCUGCUGCAUAAUAAAGGAAGUGAAAUUCUGCUUCAUCGAUGAAUAACAGGAUUUUAUAUAAAACUUUGAAUGACAUAGGAGGGACAAUUUGCAUAGAACAACAAGUCCUCAAACUGGCCACAAGAAACUUCUGUACUUUUUCUCUCAAGGUCAUACAGCCCUGAAUCUGAUAGCAACAGAGCUUCAGCAAUAACAGCAGAUACCAUCUUAGAUUAAUGAAUCUCUUCAAAAGUGGACCAUCAAUCACUGAACAUGUGCAUGAAGAAAUGACCUUCAUGUCAAUUUUUUCUUCUACAUAAUUUUCCUCUCUUUGGACAAAUUCUUCAAGGUA